CCUUCGAUAGCUCAGUUGGAAGAGCGCGAGACUGUAAUGGCUCACAAUGAUAUAUCUUGAGGUCGCUGGUUCGAUCCCGGCUCGAAGGA